rnacentral:lncRNA from 1 species
CAAGAGUUUUGUAGUAGAUCUACAGGUGAAAUUUUGUAGGUUUAUGGUUAUAGUUGUGUUUAAUAUGUGUCAUGAAUUUGAACUUGAUCUAAUGGUUAAAUUGAAGGAUAUUGAGGUUUAAAAGGGUCAAGGUCUCAAAAAGUAGAAUUUUAGGUCUAGUGGGGGUUUUUGAGAUUUCUUGCAAUCUAUUGGUUGGAUUGGAGUGAAACUUGCGUGAAAAGAUAUUAGACUUGUUUUUAUACUCGUAUAAGAAUUUUGAGAUCAAUCGAAAGGUGCAAAGGAGAGAUAUUGGCUCUGGAAGAUUGGCAUUAAGAU